GAUGAAGAACGUAGCGAAAUGCGAUAAGUAAUGUGAAUUGCAGAAUUCAGUGAAUCAUCGAAUCUUUGAACGCACAUUGCGCCCAUUAGUAUUCUAGUGGGCGUGCCUGUUCGAGCGUCAUUAAGUCCACUUAAGCCCUGCUUAGUGUUGGGAGACUGCUCCAGCGGUGCUACCCUGUAGCUACCCUGCAGCUCCUCAAAGACAGCGGCGGAGUUGUGGUAUCCUCUGAGCUUAGUAACUUGUUCUAGCUUUCGAGUACACCACUUCCCCUGCCGUAAAACCCUUAAUUUUUAAUGGUUGACCUCGGAUCAGGUAGGAAUACCCGCUGAACUUAAGCAUAUCAAUAAGCGGAGGA
rnacentral:misc_RNA from 1 species